CAAAUUGGUCAUGGGAUUAACAUUCAUGAAGUCUUCAUCAUGGAAAUCAAAGAAUGCAAUCAGUGGAUCAUUCUACAUCCACCAGCAUAAACCAAAUUUUUGCGAGUUCUUCAUAAUAUGUGGAGGGAAGUUGGUAUUGCUUAGAGGAGAAAGUGAAGAAGCAAUCAUGGAGGAUGAUCAAGGAGUCAAUGUUGCAAAAAGGG
rnacentral:misc_RNA from 1 species